GUAGGUGGCAAGCGUUGUCCGGAUUUAUUGGGCGUAAAGCGAACGCAGGCGGGAGAACAAGUCAGCUGUGAAAGCCCUCGGCUUAACCGAGGAACGGCAACUGAAACUGUUUUCCUUGAGUGCAGAAGAGGAGAGUGGAACUCCAUGUGUAGCGGUGAAAUGCGUAGAUAUAUGGAAGAACACCAGAGGCGAAGGCGGCUCUCUGGUCUGUAACUGACGCUGAGGUUCGAAAGCAUGGGUAGCGAACAGGAUUAGAUACCCUGGUAGUCCAUGCCGUAAACGAUGAGUGCUAAGUGUUGGGAGGUUUCCGCCUCUCAGUGCUGCAGCUAACGCAUUAAGCACUCCGCCUGGGGAGUACGACCGCAAGGUUA
rnacentral:rRNA from 1 species